UAAAAAAAAAUAAAUUUUACCAAGAUGCAUUAUAUUAUAGGCCAGAAAACUAGUCUUAAAAAAGUUAGAGGGGUUUAAGUAGUGCAAAAAUUGUUUUAUGACCAUAAUGGAAUGAAAUUAAGAACCAAUUAUAGAAAUAAUAAAAAAAAACACUCCCAAUUAUUUGGAAACCAAACAGCAUGACCUCUAAAUAAUCUCUGGGUAAAAAAAAAAAUUACAGUGAAAUUAAAAAUUAUUUUUAAGUUGAUGGAUAAGACAACAUAACAUAUUAGGAUUUAUGGAAUGUCUCUAAAGUAAUACUAAGAAAAAAAACUUACAGCAAUAGAUAUCUGUACUGCAGAAGAAGAAAAGUCUUGCAUAAAAAUGUCAGUUUCCAUCUUAAGAAACUUGAAAAAAACACAGUAAAUUCCAACCAAGCAGAAGAAAAGAAUAGUGAACAGAGUAGAAGUUAGUGGAAUAGAAAAUCAGUAGAGGAAAUCAGUGAAACCAAACCAUGCUUCUUUGAAAGGACUGAGAUACUUAAUAAGCCUCUAGACAGACUGACCAGGAAAAAGAAAAAACAAAAACAGAGAAAAACAAACUAGCAACAUCAGGAAUGAUAGAGUAGAUAUCACCAUAGAUUUUACAAAUAUUGAAAGGGAAAUUAGAGAAUGUUAUGAACAGUCUUAUACCAAUAAAUUUGACAAUGUACAUGAAAUGGAUAUUUCUUCAAAGAUACAAACUAAUAAAGCUCACUCAAGAACAAAUUUAUAUAACCUGUAAAGUCACAUGCCAAUUAAAGCAAAAUUUCUCAAAGUUGGCGCUACUGAUAUUUUGGGCCAGCUAAUUUUUUCCUAUGGGAGCUGUCCUAUACAUUGUAGGAUAAUUAGCAGCAUUCUUGGUCCUGUAUUCACUAGAUGUCUGCAGCACUAACCCUUACCCUAGGUGUGACAACCAAAAGUAUCUAUAGAUAUUGCAAAAUGUUCCUUUCAGGGAGGGAGAGUGUUAAAAUUGCCCUGGUUUGGGCACAUUAUUAUUAUUUGGUGUCAGGUUUCUAUUUAAAUUCUAGUAAUUUAACAUAUAGUGUAAAAUUGGUUUCAGGAGAAGAAUUAAGUGAUUCAUCACUGAAAUAGAACACCUAGUGCUCAUCACAAAUGCCCUCCUUAAUACCCAUCGCCCAUUUAGCCCAACCCCCAAUUCCACAUAUGAGUGAAAUCAUAUGGUUUUUGUCUUUCUCUGACUGACUUAUUUCAUGUAGCAUAACAUUCUGUAGUUCCAUCUAUGUCAUUACAAAUGGCAAGAUUUCAUUCUUUUUGAUAGCUGACAUAUAUUGUGCGGGGGCCAUAUACAUAUACGUUUUGGUAUAUGUAUAUGUGUCACAUUUUCUUUAUCUAUUCAUCAGUCAAUAGACAUUUGGGCUUUUUCCAUAUUUUGGCUAUUGUUGAUAAUGCUGCUACACACAUGGGGUGCAUGUGUCCGUUUGAGUCAGUAUUUUUGUAUCCUUUGAGUAAAUACCUAGUAGUACAAUUGUUGGGUCUUGAGGUAGAUCUAUCUGUAAAUUUUUGAGGAACCUCCAUACUGCUUUGCACAGUGGCUGCACCAGUUUGCAUUCCCACCAACAGGGUAAGAGGGUUCCCCUUUCUCCUCCACAUCCUCACCGACAACUGUUCUUUCCUGUGUUAUUAAUUUUAGCCAUUCUAACAGUUCUGAGGUGGGAUCUCAUCAUGCUUUUGAUUAGUAUUUACUUGAUGAUGAAUGAUGUUGAGCAACUUUUCAUGUCUGUCAGCCACUGGAUGUCUUCUUUGAAAAAUGUCUAUCCAUGUCUUCUGCCACCUCUUUUUUUUAAUAUAUAUUUUUUAUUGAAGUUCGAUUUGCCAACAUAUAGUAUAACACCCAGUGAUCAUCCUGUCAAGUGUCCCCCUCAGCUGAUUAGAAAAAUUAUACUAGAGAAAGGAAAAUUUUAGGUGAAAAUUUUUCCCACAAAGAAAGCUCCAGGUCCACAUGGCUUUACUGGUGAUUUCUACCAAAUAUUCAAGGGAAAAACACAUACCAGUUCUAUUUUUUUAAAAGAUUUUAUUUAUUUAUGAGAGACAGAGAGAGACAUAGAGAGAGGCAGCGACACAGGCAGAGGGAGAAGCAGGCUCCAUGCAGGAAGCCUGAUGUGGGACUCGAUCCCAGGACCCCAGGAUCACGCCCUGGGCUGAAGGGGUGCUAAACUGUUGAGCUGUCCGGGCUGCCCUCACACCAGUUCUAUAAAAGCUCUUUCAGAAAACUGAAAAGUGGUUUUUAACUAAUUCAUUAAUUCUAUGAGGCCAACAUUACCUUAAUAACGAAGAUCAUAACAAGACAUUACAAGAAAUGAACAGUAUAGACCAAUAUCUCUCAUGAGCAUACAUACAAAAAUUCUGAGCAAAAUUUUAGCAAAUUUAAUCCAACAAUAUGUAAAAGAAAUAAUAUCAUAAUCACGUGGAGCUAAUUUUAAGAAUGUAAGUUUCGCUUAACAUUUAAAAAUCAAUGAAUGUGGGGCACCUGGCAAAUGCCUUUGGCUCAGGCCGUGAUCCCAGGGUCCUGGAAUCAAGUCCCGCAUCAGGUUUCCGCGGGGAGCCUACUUCUUCCUCUGCCUGUGUCUCUGCCUCUCUCUCUGUGUCUUUCAUGAAUAAAUAAAUAAAUAAAUAAAUAAAUAAAUAAAUAAAUAAAUAUCAUAAAAGCAUUGUACAAAAUCUAACAUCUAUGACCAAUAAAAUCUGUCAAAAAACUAAGGAUAAAAUGGAACUUCCUCGAUCUAAUAAAUUGCUUCUAUCUAAAACGUAUAGGUAGCAGCAGCACACUUAAUGGUAAAAAACUAAAUAAUUUCCCCUAAGACCAAAAACAAGUAUGUCAGCUAUCACUAAAUCUAUUCACCUUUAUACUAUAAUUUCUAGCAAUGCAUUAAGGUAAGAAAAAGAAAUGAAUAGUAUCCAGAUUGAAAAGAAAUAAGUAAUAUUCUCUUUACUCACAUGUGGUAUCAUAUUUACAUAGAAAAUCUGAUGGAAUCUACCAAAAUAGGACUAAUAAAUAUGUUUAAUAAGGUGAUAGAUAUAAAAUCAGUAUACAAAAAUCGGUCAUAUUUCUAUUUCUUAGUAAAGAAGAAUUGAAAAAUGAAAUUAAAAAAUAUUGACAAGGACAGAAAUAUGAAAUAAGUAUACUUUUUAAAUGAUUUAUUUAUUUACUUGAGAGAGACAGAGAGAGAGAUAAGGUGCAUGAGCAGGCAUGAAAGACAGAGGGAGGAGCAGACUCCCUGAUGUGAGAUAUGAUCCCAGGACCCUGGGAUCAUGACCUGGGCCGAAGGCAGAUGCGUAACCAACUGAGCCACUCAGGCAUCCCUAAAAUAAGUAUUAACACCAGUAGAAGAUGCAAAAGUAAAAUCUACAUGUAAAUGACAAAACAUUGAUAAGAAAAAAAA
rnacentral:lncRNA from 1 species